rnacentral:rRNA from 1 species
UCAAGCUACUAAGGGCAUACGGCGGAUGCCUAGGCGCCAUCAGCCGAUGAAGGACGCGGUAAGCUGCGAAAAGCUACGGGGAACUGCAAGCAAGUAUUGAUCCGUAGAUGUCCGAAUGGGGAAACCCACCUGCCGUCAUGGGCAGGUAUCCGAAAGGAAGGGAACCCGGGGAACUGAAACAUCUAAGUACCCGGAGGAAGAGAAAUCAAACGAGAUGCCCACAGUAGCGGCGAGCGGGUUGAGGACUGCAUUUAGUCUUAAUGGUUUAUCCGAACUACCUGGAAAGGUAGGCAAUACAGUGUAAAAGCCACGUAGGUUAAAGACCGGAGAGAUGAGCAGUAUCCAGAGUACCACGAGGCACGAGGAAUCUUGUGGGAAGCCGGGGGGACCACCCUCCAACCCUAAACACUGAAUGGCGACCGAUAGCGCAUAGUACCGUGAGGGAAAGGUGAAAAGAACCCCGGGAGGGGAGUGAAAGAGAACCUGAAACCGUAUGUCUACAAGCAGUCGGAGCGAAAGCGACGGCGUGCCUAUUGAAGAAUGAACCAACGAGUUACGUGCACUAGCGAGGUUAAGUGGAAGACACGGAGCCGAAGCGAAAGCGAGUCUUAAGAGGGCGGAUAGUUAGUGUACGUAGACCCGAAACCGCAGUGAUCUACCCAUGUCCAGGUUGAAGCGCAGGUAAAAUUGCGUGGAGGACCGAACCUGUGAGCGUUGAAAAGCUUUAGGAUGAGAUGUGGGUAGAGGUGAAAUUCCAAUCGAACGCGGAGAUAGCUGGUUCUCCCCGAAAUAGCUUUAGGGCUAGCCUCAAGUAGUAAGUAUAGGCGGUAGAGCACUGAUCGGGCUAGGGGCCAUAAAGGUUACCGAACCCUGUCAAACUCCGAAUGGUUAUACUGUAGAGCUUGGGAGUCAGACUACGAGUGAUAAGAUCCGUGGUCAAAAGGGAAACAGCCCAGACCACCAGCUAAGGUCCCCAAUGUCGUACUAAGUGGAAAAGGAUGUGGGGUCUCUAAAACAACCAGGAUGUUGGCUUAGAAGCAGCCACCAUUUAAAGAGUGCGUAAUAGCUCACUGGUCGAGAGACCCUGCGCCGAAGAUUACCGGGGCUAAAGUACGAAACCGAAGCUGUGGCUACGACAUAUGUCGUGGGGUAGGGGAGCGUUCUGUGAGGGCUGAAGUCGUUCUGUAAGGAACGGUGGACUUCACAGAAGUGAGAAUGUUGGUAUGAGUAGCGAAAAGAAUGGUGAGAAUCCAUUCCACCGAAAGCAUAAGGAUUCCUGGGCAACGAUCGUCGUCCCAGGGUAAGUCGGGACCUAAUCCGAGGCAUAGAGCGUAGGAGAUGGACAACUGGCAGAUAUUCCAGUACCGGUAAUGAUUGUUUGAGCGAUGGAGUGACACAGGAGGGCAGGCAGGCAGGAGAUUGGUUGUUCCUGUACAAGCGUGUAGGAUGGGACGCAGGCAAAUCCGCGUCCUGUGAGUCUGAGGCGUGAUGUGGAGGUUCCGGAAACGGAACUGAAGCUGCUGACCCCACACUGUCGAGAAAAGCUUCUAGUUAGAGAAUUACCGCCCGUACCGUAAACCGACACAGGUAUGCGGGGAGAGAAUCCUAAGGUGCGCGGGAGAACCCUCGUUAAGGAACUCGGCAAAAUGUACCCGUAACUUCGGGAUAAGGGUAGCCGCUGUUGUGAAGUCUGAACAGACGGAGCAUGAGGCGGUCGCAGAGAAGAGGCCCAAGCGACUGUUUACCACAAACACAGGUGCCUGCUAAAGAGAAAUCUGACGUAUAGGUGCUGACACCUGCCCAGUGCCGGAAGGUUAAGGAAGGAUGUCCGGAGCAAUCCAAAGCAUUCGACCGAAGCCCCGGUGAACGGCGGCCGUAACUAUAACGGUCCUAAGGUAGCGAAAUUCCUUGUCGGGUAAG